rnacentral:rRNA from 1 species
UGGGGAAUAUUGCACAAUGGGCGAAAGCCUGAUGCAGCGACGCCGCGUGAGGGAUGACGGCCUUCGGGUUGUAAACCUCUUUCAGUAGGGACGAAGCGCAAGUGACGGUACCUGCAGAAGAAGCACCGGCUAACUACGUGCCAGCAGCCGCGGUAAUACGUAGGGUGCGAGCGUUGUCCGGAAUUACUGGGCGUAAAGAGCUCGGAGGCGGUUUGUCACGUCGUCUGUGAAAUCCUAGGGCUUAACCCUGGACGUGCAGGCGAUACGGGCUGACUUGAGUACUACAGGGGAGACUGGAAGUUCUGGUUUAGCGGUGGAAUGCCCAGAUAUCAGGAAGAACACCGAUGGCGAAGGCAGGUCUCUGGGUAGUAACUGACGCUGAGGAGCGAAAGCAUGGGUAGCGAACAGG